GGGGAGAGUUUGAUCCUGGCUCAGAUUGAACGCUGGCGGCAUGCCUUACACAUGCAAGUCGAACGGUAACAGGUCUUCGGAUGCUGACGAGUGGCGAACGGGUGAGUAAUACAUCGGAACGUGCCCGAUCGUGGGGGAUAACGGAGCGAAAGCUUUGCUAAUACCGCAUACGAUCUACGGAUGAAAGCGGGGGAUCUUCAGACCUCGCGCGGACGGAGCGGCCGAUGGCAGAUUAGGUAGUUGGUGGGAUAAAAGCUUAGGGAGCCGACGAUCUGUAGCUGGUCUGAGAGGAUGAUCAGCCACACUGGGACUGAGACACGGCCCAGACUCCUACGGGAGGCAGCAGUGGGGAAUUUUGGACAAUGGGGGCAACCCUGAUCCAGCCAUGCCGCGUGCAGGAUGAAGGCCUUCGGGUUGUAAACUGCUUUUGUACGGAACGAAAAGACUCUGGUUAAUACCUGGGGUCCAUGACGGUACCGUAAGAAUAAGCACCGGCUAACUACGUGCCAGCAGCCGCGGUAA
rnacentral:rRNA from 1 species